GAUGAACGCUGGCGGCGUGCUUAACACAUGCAAGUCGAACGGGAAACCUUUUAAUGAAGCUUCGGCAGAUUUAGCUGGUUUCUAGUGGCGGACGGGUGAGUAACGCGUGGGUAACCUGCCUUAUACAGGGGGAUAACAGUCAGAAAUGACUGCUAAUACCGCAUAAGCGCACAGGACCGCAUGGUCCGGUGUGAAAAACUCCGGUGGUAUAAGAUGGACCCGCGUUGGAUUAGCUUGUUGGUGGGGUAACGGCUCACCAAGGCGACGAUCCAUAGCCGGCCUGAGAGAGUGAACGGCCACAUUGGGACUGAGACACGGCCCAGACUCCUACGGGAGGCAGCAGUGGGGAAUAUUGCACAAUGGGGGAAACCCUGAUGCAGCGACGCCGCGUGAAGGAAGAAGUAUCUCGGUAUGUAAACUUCUAUCAGCAGGGAAGAUAGUGACGGUACCUGACUAAGAAGCCCCGGCUAACUACGUG
rnacentral:rRNA from 1 species